rnacentral:rRNA from 1 species
GCGCGAAAACUUUACAAUGCUGGCAACAGCGAUAAGGGAACCUCGAGUGCCAGGUUACAAAUCUGGCUGUCGAGAUGCCUAAAAAGCAUUUCAUAGCAAGGGCCGGGCAAGACCGGUGCCAGCCGCCGCGGUAACACCGGCGGCUCGAGUGGUAACCGUUAUUAUUGGGUCUAAAGGGUCUGUAGCCGGCCGGAUAAGUCUCUUGAGAAAUCUGGCAGCUUAACUGUCAGGCUUUCAGGAGGUACUGUCUGGCUCGAGGCCGGAAGAGGUGAGAGGUACUUCAGGGGUAGGGGUGAAAUCUUGUAAUCCUUGAAGGACCACCAGUGGCGAAGGCGUCUCACCAGAACGGACCUGACGGCAAGGGACGAAAGCUAGGGGCACGAACC